rnacentral:rRNA from 1 species
ACGUAGGGGGCGAGCGUUGUCCGAAGUUACUGGGCGUAAAGCGCGCGUAGGCGGGGGGUUAAGUGAGAGGUGAAAGGCUGAGGCUCAACCUCAUGCAGUGCCUCUCAUACUGGCCUUCUUGAGGGCGGUAGGGAGAAGUGGAAUGGCUGGUGUAGCGGUGAAAUGCGUAGAGAUCAGGAAGAACAUCGGUGGCGAAGGCGCUCUGCUGGACCAUAACUGACACUCAGGGACGAAAGCUAGGGGAGCGAAUGGGA